rnacentral:rRNA from 1 species
AAUGGCCUAACGGCUGAACCAGCAACUUGGAGGAAUGUAUAGCAAUAGCUGAUUGCACCAACAAAUAGUUGAUGCAAUAUCGACUCUGUCGAAUAAAAUUCUAGGUAGAAUUAUGAUAAUGACAUUGUCUGCCUAUGUGUCUUGACCAAAUUACGUGCCAGCAGUCGCGGUAAUACGUAGAAGACUAGUGUUAUUCAUCUUUAAUAGGUUUAAAGGGUACCUAGACAGCAAAUCAAGCCAUAGUAGGGACUAAUUUGCUAGAGUUACUUGUGAGGGGGUAUUAAAGUACUGCUGGUGUAGAGAUGAAAUUCUGUCAUACCUUUAUCGAAAGAAAAACGACGGCACAGGUAUAGGCGAAAGCAUCCCCUUAUGUGAUAACUGACGUUGAAGGACGAAGGCUUUGUGUCGCGAACAGGAUUAGAUACCCCAGUAGUCAAAGCAGAAAAUGAUGAAUGUCAUAGGUUAGAUCAUAUUUAUCCUAUAAAUGAAAGUGUAAGCAUUCCACCUCAAGAGUAAUUUGGCAACAUUGGAACUGAAAUCAUUAGACCGUUUCUGAAACCAGUAGUGAAGUAUGUUGUUUAAUUUGAUGACCCGCAAAAAACCUUACCACAAUUUGAAUAUUUAUACUUUUUUUCUUUCACUCUUACUUUUUUUUCCUAUCUUCUUAUUUUCAUCUUCCCUUUUUUCCUUUGUUUGUUUGUGUGUUUGUUUAUUUGUUUAUUUAUUUAUUUCUUUCCUACGGAAAGAAGAGGAAAGAUGAAGUAAGAUGAGGAAAUAUGAGCAAAUAUGAGUAAAUAUGAGCAAAGAUGAGAAAUAAUGAAAAUAUGAAAAAGAUAAUAAAAGGGGAAGAAGAUAUAUUUACAAGCGUUGCACGGCUGUCUUCAGUUAAUGUCGUGAGACUUUGGUUAGUUCCAUUAAAUUAACGUAAACCCUUACUCUAUUUUUAUAUAGAGUAGUUCCCCGCUAGAUUGGAUAAGAUAACAGGGACUAAGACAAGUCAUCAUGGCCUAAAUAUUGUGGGCUAUAGACGUGCCACAUAAGCCUUACAAAAGGAUGUGAAAUUGUGAAAUUGAGCUAAUCCCCCAAAAUUGGAUAUACACCAACAAU